ACACCUCAACUCUCAUGGCCUCACCAUGAUGAGCUUGGAUUUUGGGGGUUUUGCUGGCCCUGUGGUUGGCUCCUCUCAAAUGAAUCAGCUUGCCAGUGUUUGGUGGCAUCGCAGGUGUGAUAACUAUCUACGCUUGUGGUUUUCCACCAGGUAACCUUCAGUGAUGAAGGUUCACUGGAGCUCAUAAAUGUCUCUCCUCAGUGAGGACAGCUCUUUGAAC
rnacentral:misc_RNA from 1 species